rnacentral:rRNA from 1 species
AUUGAACGCUGGCGGCAUGCCUUACACAUGCAAGUCGAACGGCAGCACGGGGGCAACCCUGGUGGCGAGUGGCGAACGGGUGAGUAAUACAUCGGAACGUGCCCAGUAGUGGGGGAUAGCUCGGCGAAAGCCGGAUUAAUACCGCAUACGACCUACGGGUGAAAGCGGGGGAUCGUAAGCCCUCGCGCUAUUGGCGCGGCCGAUGUCAGAUUAGGUUGUUGGUGGGGUAAAAGCCCACCAAGCCGACGAUCUGUAGCUGGUCUGAGAGGACGACCAGCCACACUGGGACUGAGACACGGCCCAGACUCCUACGGGAGGCAGCAGUGGGGAAUUUUGGACAAUGGGCGAAAGCCUGAUCCAGCCAUGCCGCGUGCGGGAAGAAGGCCUUCGGGUUGUAAACCGCUUUUGUCAGGGAAGAAAUCUUCCGAGCUAAUACCUUGGGAGGAUGACGGUACCUGAAGAAUAAGCACCGGCUAACUCCGUGCCAGCCGCCGCGGUA